GUCCCUCUGUAGUUCAUAAGCCUGACGACUGGGUGUUCAUGCACCCAGGGGAGCUGCGCCUCCUCUGAAACUUCAUUAUGACAUGUGCACAUCACCCGUCUAAUA
ensembl:snoRNA